rnacentral:rRNA from 1 species
CAGUCGCCGCGGUAAUACAGAGGGUGCGAGCGUUAAUCGGAAUUACUGGGCGUAAAGCGCGCGUAGGCGGCUUGUUAAGUCGGAUGUGAAAUCCCCGAGCUCAACUUGGGAAUUGCAUUCGAAACUGGGAAGCUAGAGUAUGGUAGAGGAUAGUGGAAUUUCCUGUGUAGCGGUGAAAUGCGUAGAUAUCUGAAGGAACACCAGUGGCGAAGGCGACUACCUGGACUAAUACUGACACUGAGGUACGAAAGCGUGGGGAGCAAACAGGAUUAGAUACCCCUGUAGUCCCUGUCUCUUAUAC